CCUACUACAUGGAUAACUGUGGUAAUUCUAGAGCUAAUACAUGCUAAAAAUCCCGACUUCGGAAGGGAUGUAUUUAUUAGAUUAAAAACCAAUGCCCUUCGGGGCUCGCUGGUGAUUCAUAAUAACUGCACGAAUCGCAUGGCCUUGCGCCGGCGAUGGCUCAUUCAAAUUUCUGCCCUAUCAACUUUCGACGGCUGGGUCUUGGCCAGCCAUGGUGACAACGGGUAACGGAGGGUUAGGGCUCGACCCCGGAGAAGGAGCCUGAGAGACGGCUACUACAUCCAAGGAAGGCAGCAGGCGCGCAAAUUACCCAAUCCCAAUUCGGGGAGGUAGUGACAAUAAAUACUGAUACAGGGCUCUUUUGGGUCUUGUAAUCGGAAUGAGAACAAUUUAAAUCCCUUAACGAGGAACAAUUGGAGGGCAAGUCUGGUGCCAGCAGCCGCGGUAAUUCCAGCUCCAAUAGCGUAUAUUAAAGUUGUUGCAGUUAAAAAGCUCGUAGUUGAACCUUGGGCCUGGCUGGCCGGUCCGCCUCACCGCGUGCACUGGUCCGGCCGGGCCUUUCCCUCUGGGGAACCGCAUGCCCUUCACUGGGCGUGCCGGGGAACCAGGACUUUUACUGUGAAAAAAUUAGAGUGUUCAAAGCAGGCCUAUGCUCGAAUACAUUAGCAUGGAAUAAUAGAAUAGGACGUGUGGUUCUAUUUUGUUGGUUUCUAGGACCGCCGUAAUGAUUAAUAGGGACAGUCGGGGGCGUCAGUAUUCAAUUGUCAGAGGUGAAAUUCUUGGAUUUAUUGAAGACUAACUGCUGCGAAAGCGUUCGCCAAGGAUGUUUUCAUUAAUCAGGAACGAAAGUUAGGGGAUCGAAGACGAUCAGAUACCGUCGUAGUCUUAACCAUAAACUAUGCCGACUCGGG
rnacentral:rRNA from 1 species